rnacentral:siRNA from 1 species
UCAGGACAUGAAUGUGGGUUCUA